CAGUAGCCGCGGGAACACGUAGGGUGCAAGCGUUAAUCGGAAUUACUGGGCGUAAAGCGUGCGCAGGCGGUUAUAUAAGUCAGAUGUGAAAUCCCCGGGCUCAACCUGAGAACUGCAUUUGAGACUGUAUGGCUAGAGUACGGUAGAGGGGGAUGGAAUUCCGCGCGUAGCAGUGAAAUGCGUAGAUAUGCGGAGGAACACCGAUGGUGAAGGCAAUCCCCUGGACCUGUACUGACGCUCAUGCACGAAAGCGUGGGGAGCAAACAGGAUUAGAUACCCCCGUAGUCCCUGUCUCUUAUAC
rnacentral:rRNA from 1 species